rnacentral:rRNA from 1 species
GACGAACGCUGGCGGCAUGCCUAACACAUGCAAGUCGAACGAAGGCUUCGGGCUUUUUGGCGCACGACUUCGGAACGCGUGGGAAUCUUCCCUUAUGGUUAGCAUACCAGUUAGAAUUGACUGCUUACACGGGAUGAUAACGUAAAUCCAAUGAUUUAUUGCCUGAGGUUGAGCCCGAGUAGGAUUAGGUAGUUGGUGUGGUAAAAGCGCACUAAGGCGACGAUUCUUAGCUUGUAUGAGAGGCUGAUCAGCCACACUGGGACUGAGACACGGCCCAGACUCCUACGGGAGGCAGCAGUGGGGAAUAUUGGAAAAUGGGCGCAAGCCUGAUCCAGCAAUGCCGCGUGAGUGAUGAAGGCCUUAGGGUUGUAAAGCUCUUUUACCCGUGAUGAUAAUGACAGUAGCGGGAGAAUAAGCCCCGGCUAACUCCGUG